rnacentral:rRNA from 1 species
CACGUAGGGCGCAAGCGUUGUCCGGAAUUAUUGGGCGUAAAGAGCUCGUAGGCGGUCUGUUGCGUCCGCUGUGAAAACUCGGGGCUUAACCCCGAGCCUGCAGUGGAUACGGGCAGACUAGAGGUAGGUAGGGGAGAAUGGAAUUCCCGGUGUAGCGGUGAAAUGCGCAGAUAUCGGGAGGAACAUCAGUGGCGAAAGCGACUUCCUGGACCAAUACUGACGCUCAUGUGCGAAAGCGUGGGGAGCAAACAGG